GAAGAAGUGAAUUAAGGGCAUUUGGUGGAUGCCUUGGCAUGCACAGGCGAAGAAGGACGUGAUACGCUGCGAAAAGCCGUGGGGAGCUGCGAAUAAGCUUUGAUCCAUGGAUCUCCGAAUGGGGCAACCCACCUCAGAUAUCUAGAAAAUCUGUUUUGCUAACACUUGAAUAUAUCUUCAAAGGGUCUGUUGGGUUCUCCCAUACAGACCGAUAGGUCGUCGCCAAUCGUUUGGCGCGCCGUCCGCAGGCCUUCGGCCGUGAGGACAGAAGACACCCGGCGAUACCGGGUUCGAGGGUUCAGCAAAAGAGGUUUCUAGAUAUCGCGAUGAGGUAUCUACACCUGAAUACAUAGGGUGUAAGAAGCGAACGCAGGGAACUGAAACAUCUAAGUACCUGCAGGAAAGGACAUCAACCGAGACUCCGUAAGUAGUGGCGAGCGAACGCGGACCAGGCCAGUGGCAAUGCUGAAUAAAGUCGAACACUCUGGAAAGGGUGGCCAUAGCGGGUGAUAGCCCCGUAGACGUAGAACAGGCAUUGUCCUUGAGUAGGGCGGGACACGUGAAAUCCUGUCUGAACAUGGGGAGACCACUCUCCAAGCCUAAGUACUCGUGCAUGACCGAUAGCGAACAAGUACCGUGAGGGAAAGGUGAAAAGCACCCCGACGAGGGGAGUGAAAUAGAACCUGAAACCGGAUGCCUACAAACAGUCGGAGCCCGAGAGGGUGACGGCGUACCUUUUGUAUAAUGGGUCAACGACUUAGUGUAACGAGCAAGCUUAAGCCGGUAGGUGUAGGCGUAGCGAAAGCGAGUCUGAACAGGGCGUUCAGUUCGUUGCAUUAGACCCGAAACCGAGUGAUCUAGCCAUGAGCAGGCUGAAGGUUGGGUAACACCAACUGGAGGGCCGAACCCAUAACUGUUGCAAUAGUUCGGGAUGACUUGUGGCUAGGGGUGAAAGGCCAAUCAAACUCGGAAAUAGCUGGUUCUCCGCGAAAUCUAUUUAGGUAGAGCGUCGACCUUAUACCCUCGGGGGUAGAGCACUGGAUGGGCUAUGGGGACUCACCGUCUUACUGAUCCUAACCAAACUCCGAAUACCGAGGAGUACUAGUCGGCAGACACACGGCGGGUGCUAACGUCCGUCGUGAAGAGGGCAACAACCCUGACCUCCAGCUAAGGUCCCCAAGUCAUGGCUAAGUGGGAAAGGAUGUGAGGAUCCCAAAACAACCAGGAUGUUGGCUUAGAAGCAGCCAUCAUUUAAAGAAAGCGUAACAGCUCACUGGUCUAA
rnacentral:rRNA from 1 species